UACAAUCUGAGAUAUUCGCCAAACUUCUAUUUUGAACCUACAGCAUAAAAACGGGAGUUUAAUAAACUGUGUGGAUAUGUACUUUAUCGUGAGACCUAUAGAUGGCAUUUAAGGCGAUAGAAACACAGUUGCGAACACCCACCUAUCGGAGAGAUAGGUGUCAAAAUUGAAGUAGCGGUAUUUUGGAUUUAAU
rnacentral:other from 1 species